rnacentral:rRNA from 1 species
UACAGAGGGUGCUAGCGUUGUUCGGAAUCAUUGGGCGUAAAGGGCGUGUAGGCGGUUUGUUAAGUCAUGUGUGAAAGCCCCCGGCUCAACCGGGGAACGACGCAUGAAACUGGCAAGCUAGAGUACCGAAGAGGGGGGUGAAUUCCCGGUGUAGCGGUGAAAUGCGUAGAUAUUGGGAGGAACACCAGUGGCGAAGGCGGCUCACUGGACCGGAACUGACGCUGAGGCGCGAAAGCGUGGGGAGCAAACGGG